rnacentral:lncRNA from 1 species
CAACAAUAUAUCCAGUAACAUCAAAGUUAAUCCUAAUGAACUUGCCGAAGCGAGAGGAGUUGUCGUUCUUCACCGUCUUCGCGUUCCCGAAGGAUUCCAGAAUGGGAUUUGCCUGAAGAAGCUGACGCUCCAGCUCCCCAGGAAUAUUAUGGUCCUUUCUUCCUUUGUGGGAGGAAGCAACGUGAGCAAGGUAUUGAAUAACCUUCUUAGUGUUUUCAGUCUUCCCGGCACCAGAUUCGCCUGUGCAGAGAAUGGAUUGGUCCUCACGGUCUUGCAGCAUGCAUCUGUAUGCAGACUCAGAUAUGGCAUAAAUGUGUGGUGGCAUUUCGUGGCGCUUCUUCCCUCUGUACAUCUCAAUGAUGUUUUCUGAGUAAAUCGGGAGGUUCUUGUAGGGGUUUAUAACUACGCAGAACAGCCCUGAAUAGGUAUAGAUGAGCCCAGAGUAAUACCGAUCCUUUAAAUUAUGCAAUACAGAGGCUUCAUUUAAACAGGUUAAUUCUGCCAUGUCUUCCACCUUUGAGAACUUGGGGGGAUUCAUCUUCUGAAUGUCAUCUUUAUUGACCAGGGCUUUCUUUCCAUUCUCUGCCAGUUCAACCAACACUUCAUCCCCCCUUUCCUCCUUGAUGCUGGCUGCCUCAAAACCAUGGCGCUCCGAAGGAAUCCACACCAGCUUCUUGGCAGUCCAAUCAGCCUGGGUGGCAGGGUUGUAGAUGACAGCCCUGUCCACAAAGAGGUAUCUCUCGGGAUCUUCCUGCCCAGAUCGCUGUGCCAUUGUGGGAAGCGAAGGUGUCCUCUAUCAGUUACCCUGUGCAGCGCCGCUCACCGCCGCGCCCCGCAGCUCGCGCCGCCCGCCGGCUUCUCAGCACCGCGCCGCUCCGCCCCCCGUCCGCCGCGCGCCUUUAGCGCCACACCGACCCCUCCGCCCCCUCUCGCCGCCGCCUCGAGCCCCGCCCCCGCCGCCGCCGCACGCCUCGCGCUCAUUGGUUCCCUCACACGUCCGUCCGCCGCCGCUCGCUCGCCC